rnacentral:sRNA from 1 species
UGUAUCGGAAGCCUGACGAGGAUGAGAACCUCCGGGGGCAAGAGGUUCGACUCGAGCGCAGCGAGAGAACGUUGCGUCAGCAACGGCCCGCAGGGCGAGCCAC